UAAUGCCGGAUGCUCCAGUUGAUCGCAUGGUCUUCUGGGAAAGCUUUCGCGGUAUGGGAUGGGGUCGCGUCCUAUCAGCUUGACGGCGGGGUAACGGCCCACCGUGGCUUCGACGGGUAGCCGGCCUGAGAGGGCGACCGGCCACAUUGGGACUGAGAUACGGCCCAGACUCCUACGGGAGGCAGCAGUGGGGAAUAUUGCACAAUGGGCGCAAGCCUGAUGCAGCGACGCCGCGUGAGGGAUGGAGGCCUUCGGGUUGUAAACCUCUUUUAUCGGGGAGCAAGCGAGAGUGAGUUUACCCGUUGAAUAAGCACCGGCUAACUACGUGCCAGCAGCCGCGGUAAUACGUAGGGUGCAAGCGUUAUCCGGAAUUAUUGGGCGUAAAGGGCUCGUAGGCGGUUCGUCGCGUCCGGUGUGAAAGUCCAUCGCUUAACGGUGGAUCCGCGCCGGGUACGGGCGGGCUUGAGUGCGGUAGGGGAGACUGGAAUUCCCGGUGUAACGGUGGAAUGUGUAGAUAUCGAAGAGAAACAC
rnacentral:rRNA from 1 species